GAUGAACGCUAGCGGCAGGCCUAAUACAUGCAAGUCGAACGAGACUUGGUAGCAAUGUCAAGUUUAGUGGCGCACGGGUGCGUAACACGUAUGCAAUCUACCCUUUACUUAGGAAUAGCCCGGAGAAAUUCGGAUUAAUACCUAAUAAGAAGUUACUGUGGCAUCACAGAGAUUUUUAAAGAUUUAUCGGUAAAGGAUGA
rnacentral:rRNA from 1 species